UACGUAGGGGGCGAGCGUUGUCCGGAAUCAUUGGGCGUAAAGAGCGUGUAGGCGGCUUGGCAAGUCUGACGUGAAAGCCCGCGGCUCAACCGCGGAUUGUCGUUGGAAACUGCCUCGCUAGAGUCCGGAAGAGGAGAGCGGAAUUCCUGGUGUAGCGGUGGAAUGCGCAGAUAUCAGGAAGAACACCCGUGGCGGAGGCGGCUCUCUGGGACGGUACUGACGCUGAGACGCGAAAGCGUGGGGAGCGAACAGG
rnacentral:rRNA from 1 species